ensembl:lncRNA
CUGAUGUGAGUGCAGUGCUUGUUAAUAAAACCUGUUAAAUAAUUUGUUCAUAGGACAGUCCUGCUAUUCCUCAACAAGGUACAUGCUGAGUCUGGAUCGGAACCUUGUCAACACAAACAUCUCCUCCUUCAUUUCUGCAUUGUGCCUCAUGUUCGGGAGCUACUACAUUUUCAACAUCCAUUAUCCAUCUGAGCUGGCUUCAACUCUGGAGUUCCUUCAAAGGUGAGUAAUCAUGGCUUACUAAUUUCUCAGACCUGAGACUGUGGGACCUGGAGUCUGGCUCAGAGGUUCCCGUCUUAAAGGAGAAUGCCGGCCGUUUGUAAUCAAUAGCCCUGUUGAUUUGAGGCUACAAGUGCUGCAGUAGGAAAAAUAACGUGAACAUUUGGCUCAAUAUUUACCGAGUAUCAGAACGACAGCUAAAGCAAACCUAUUGGGCCAAGCUCCAUUAAGUUUUACUUUUGGUUUGCUUGCCCCCAUAGGUUUGCUUCAGCUGCCGUUCUGAUACUCGGUCAAUAUUGUGCCAAAUGAUCUCGAUAUUUUUUCCUACUGACAGCACUCGUAACAGGGCUAUGGGUUAAAAACGGCACGCAUUCUCCUUUUUAAUCCAGACUUUAACUAACUGGGUCUGUCUCGGCCUUGGCUCUAUAGGUGUGGCCUGAGUCUUGUUCUUGGUUCUUCUUGUACUUAUUUUUUUAAAUGAUAAAUUAAUAUGCUUUAAUAUGCUUUUUUUUUUUACAGGUGUUUCUUCUCGAUAAACCCAGAAAAAGGAACCAAAGUAGAGAGUAAGAACAACAAGCGUCGUCUCAACCUGAACCCUCGAGUCCUCACCCUGAUACAGGAUCUCUCCAAUCAGGAGUGGCGUCAAGCCUAAAUAUGAACUCUAUGUGGACUCUGACUGUUUGUUUGAGAAGAGGUACUGUUAGGUUUCGCUUUGUUAAAUCCACAAUUUUUAUUAUUAUUAAGGCAAAAUAUGUAAUUUCUGUUUUAAAGUCUUGCAAUAUGUACAGGUGCACUAUGUAAUUUUUAUCUGACACCUGCUUGUUUCCAUUUUGUAUAUGUUGGAAAAAAAAAUCAUCCAAUUGUUUAUUGCCGAUGGCUGGUAAAUAAAUUUCCCAAAAGGGAUUUUCCUCUCUUGUCUUUUCUCAAAAUGUAAUUUUGCAUGUUUUGCAGUAGGAGUAUUAGUAAUAAUUUUACAGGUGUAUAAGUACAUUUUACAUUAUAACUUGAUUAUUAAAACAUAAAAAUACAGCAUAUUAUAAAUAGAUUUUAUGUAUAAUAUACAGAACAGCACCAUUUAAAAUACAAAGUUUAACUGCUGUUCUACCAGUUUAAAUUUGUUUUCUGUAUGAUAUUUCCCUGUUAAAUUUACUAAAAAAAUACAGGAAAUAGUCUUUUUAUAUACAACACUGUAAUGCAAAGUUAACAAAACAAUUUUGUAGAAUAAACAGUUUUUUAAUGUGAUUCAGCCGUGAUUCAUUUCACUGUAAAUCAAUUUACAUAUUUCGUUGGUUAAGUUAUCUACUGUGCUGCUGUAUUUUUUACAGGAAUUCUCUGGUAACCACAGCUGCCAGCGAUUCCCUGUAAAAAAUACAAUAUUUUUUUUACAGUGUAGCCUACCACAUCCAUUUAGUUCAA